GCUGGGUGUGGUGGCGCAUGCCUGUAAUCCCAGCUACUCAGGAGGCUGAGGCAGGAGAAUUGCUUGAACCCAGGAGGCGGAGGUUGCAGUGAGCCAACAUCGUGCCACUGCACUCCAGCCUGGGUGACAGAGCAAGACUCUGUCUCAA
ensembl:misc_RNA Metazoa_SRP Metazoan signal recognition particle RNA